UACACACCGCCCGUCACACCAUGGGGGUUGGAUUCACUCGAAGGCGUUGAGCUAACCCGCAAGGGAGGCAGGCGACCACAGUGGGUUUAGCGACUGGGGUG
rnacentral:rRNA from 1 species